AUUGAACGCUGGCGGAAUGCUUUACACAUGCAAGUCGAACGGCAGCACGGGGGCAGCCCUGGUGGCGAGUGGCGAACGGGUGAGUAAUACAUCGGAACGUGCCCGGCCGUGGGGGAUAACGUAGCGAAAGUUACGCUAAUACCGCAUACGAUCUGAGGAUGAAAGCGGGGGACCUUCGGGCCUCGCGCGAUCGGAGCGGCCGAUGUCAGAUUAGGUAGUUGGUGGGGUAAAGGCCUACCAAGCCGACGAUCUGUAGCUGGUCUGAGAGGACGACCAGCCACACUGGGACUGAGACACGGCCCAGACUCCUACGGGAGGCAGCAGUGGGGAAUUUUGGACAAUGGGCGCAAGCCUGAUCCAGCCAUUCCGCGUGCAGGACGAAGGCCUUCGGGUUGUAAACUGCUUUUGUACGGAACGAAAAGGCUCUGGCUAAUACCUGGGGCUCAUGACGGUACCGUAAGAAUAAGCACCGGCUAACUACGUG
rnacentral:rRNA from 1 species